CGGGGUGUAGCGCAGUUGGUCGUGCAUCUGGUUUGGGACCAGGGGGUCGCAGGUUCGAAUCCUGUCACCCCGA
rnacentral:tRNA from 1 species